rnacentral:rRNA from 1 species
UAAUACGGAGGGUCCAAGCGUUAUCCGGAUUUAUUGGGUUUAAAGGGUCCGUAGGCGGGUUAAUAAGUCAGUGGUGAAAUCCUACAGCUCAACUGUAGAACUGCCAUUGAAACUGUUAACCUUGAAUAUAAUUGAAGUAGGCGGAAUGUGUCAUGUAGCGGUGAAAUGCUUAGAUAUGCCACAGAACACCGAUUGCGAAGGCAGCUUAUUAAGUUAUUAUUGACGCUGAGGGACGAAAGCGUGGGUAGCGAACAGGAUUAGAUACCCUGGUAGUCCACGCCGUAAACGAUGUAUACUCGUUGCUAGCGAUACACAGUUAGUGACCAAGCGAAAGUAUUAAGUAUACCACCUGGGGAGUACGAUCGCAAGAUUG